UACGUAGGGUGCAAGCGUUGUCCGGAAUUAUUGGGCGUAAAGAGCUCGUAGGCGGUCUGUCGCGUCGGCUGUGAAAACCCGAGGCUCAACCUCGGGCCUGCAGCCGAUACGGGCAGACUAGAGUUCGGCAGGGGAGACUGGAAUUCCUGGUGUAGCGGUGAAAUGCGCAGAUAUCAGGAGGAACACCGGUGGCGAAGGCGGGUCUCUGGGCCGAUACUGACACUGAGGAGCGAAAGCGUGGGGAGCGAACAGG
rnacentral:rRNA from 1 species